CGCAGCCUACGGGGGCAGCAGUGGGGAAUAUUGCACAAUGGGGGAAACCCUGAUGCAGCGACGCCGCGUGAGCGAUGAAGUAUUUCGGUAUGUAAAGCUCUAUCAGCAGGGAAGAAGAUGACGGUACCUGACUAAGAAGCCCCGGCUAACUACGUGCCAGCAGCCGCGGUAAUACGUAGGGGGCAAGCGUUAUCCGGAUUUACUGGGGGUAAAGGGAGCGUAGACGGCGGGGAAAGCCGGAUGUGAAAGCCCGGGGCUCAGCCCCGGG
rnacentral:rRNA from 1 species